GACGAACGCUGGCGGCGUGCCUAAUACAUGCAAGUAGAACGCAGUUGCGAACGGGUGAGUAACGCGUAGGUAACUGCCUCAUAGCGGGGGAUAACUAUUGGAAACGAUAGCUAAUACCGCAUACUGUGAGAUGGACCUGCGUUGUAUUGGCUAGUUGGUGAGGUAAAGGGUCACCAAGGCGACGAUCCAUACCCGACCUGAGAGGGGUGUCGGGCAAAAUGGGAAUGGGACACGGCCCAGACCCCUACGGGAAGCAGGAGGAGGGAAUCUUCGGCAAUGGACGGAAGUCUGACCGAGCAACGCCGCGUGAGAUAAGAAGGUUUUCGGAGCGGAAAGCUCUGUUGUGAGAGAAGCGGUAACUACCCAGAAAGGGACGGCUAACUACGUGCCAGCAGCCGCGGUAAUAC
rnacentral:rRNA from 1 species